rnacentral:tRNA from 1 species
GGGUUGUUAGCUCAGCUGGCAGAGCACCGGACUCUUAAUCCGGGUGUCCAGGGUUCGAUCCCCUGACGACCCAUCA